rnacentral:lncRNA from 1 species
UACAGGCAUGAGCCACUGCGCCCGGCCCUAUCUUUAAUUUUUUGAGGAACCUCUAUGCUAUUUUUCAUAGCGGUUGCACCAUUUUGCAUUCCCAUCUACAGCGUAAGAGGAUUCCAGUUUCUUCAUAUCCUCACCAGAGCUUUUUGUCUUUUGUCUGAUAAUAGCCAUCCUGACAGGUGUAAGGUGAUAUCUCAUUGUGGUUUGGAUUUGCAUUUCUUUGAUGGUUAGUGACAUAGUUUGGAUAUUUGUCCCCACUCAAAUCUCAGGUUGAAUUGUAAUCCCCAAUGCUGGAGGUGGGGCCUAGUGGGAGGUGUUUGGGUUAUAAGGGUGGAUCCUUCAUGGCUUGGUGCUAUCUUCAAAAUAGUAAAUGAGGUCUCACAGGAUCUGGUUGUGUGGCUUUGGGAGGCUGGGGUGGUGGAUCUCUUGAGCCCAGGAGUUUGAGACCAGCCUGGGCAACAUGGUGAAACCCAAUCUCUACAAAAAAUACAAAAAUUAGCUGGGUGUGGUGGUGCAUGCCUGUGGGCCUAGCUACUGGAGAGGCUGAGGUGGGAAGAUUGCUUGAGCCAGGGAAGUCAAGGCUGCAGUGAGCCGAGAUCGUGCCACUGCACUCCAGCCUGGGUGACAGAGCAAGACCUUGUCAAAAAAAAAAAAAAUUGUGUGGCACCUCCCCCGAAUCUCUCCCACUCUUGCUCCCAUUCUUGCCUUGUGAUGUGCCUGCUCCCCCUUUGUCUUCUGCCAUGAUUGGAAGCUUCCUGGGCCCUCCCCAGAAGCAGAAACUGCUAUGCUUCCUGUACAGCCUCCAGAACCGUGAGCCAAUUAAACCCCUUUUCUUAUAUAUAACCCAGUCUUAGGAUUUCUUUAUAGUAGUGCAAGAACAGCCUUACACAAUUAGUGACAGAGUGUCUUUCUGUUGGGCAUUUGGAUGGCUUCUUUGGAGAACUGUCUAUUCAAGUCUUUAGCCCAUUUUAAAAUUGGGUUAUCAUUAUUUUUUUUGCUAUCAAGUUGUAGGUAGUCCCUAUGUAUUUUGGAAAUUAUCCCCUUAUCAGAUGUAUGGUCUGCCAACAUUUCUCCACCCUGUAGAUUGCCUUUUUUACUCUGUUGAUUAUUUCCUUUGCUUUGCAGAAUUUUUUUAGUUUGGUGUAGAACCACUUAUUUAUUUCUGCUUUUGUGGCCUGUGCUUUUGGUGUCAUAGCCAUGAAAUCGCUGCCAAGACUAAUAGCAUGAAGAUUUCCCCUAUGUGUUCUUCUACGAGUUUUAUAGUUUAGGUCUAAUAUUUAAGUCUUUAAUCCAUUUUUAGUUGAUUUUUGGGAUAGUGUAAAUUAAGGCUGCGAUUUCAUUCUUUUAGAUGUGAAUAUCCAGUUUUCCCGACACUAUCUGUUGAGGAGACUUUUGUCAUUAUGUAUUCUUGGCAUCCCUGUCAAAGAUCAGUUGACCAUUAUUUGCAGAUUCUGUUAAGUCUCUCUCUAUUGUGUUCCACUGGUCUAUAUGGCUGUCUUCAUACCAGUACCAUAUUGUUUUCAUUUCUGUAGUUUUGUAAAAUAUUUUGUAAUCAGGAAGUGUGAUGCCUUCAGCUUUGCUCUUCAUUUUCAAGAUUAGUUUGGCUAUUUGGGGUCUUUUUUGGCCUCACAUGAAUUUUAGAAUUGCUUUUUUUUUUUUAAUUCUGUAAAAAAUGCCAUUGCAGUUUUGAUAGGGAAUGCAUUCAAUCUGUAGAUGACUUUGGGUAGCAUUGGACAUUUUAACAACAUUAAGUUUUCUAAUCCAUGACCAUGGGAAGUCUUUCCAUUUAUUUGGAUCUUCUUCAAUUUCAUUUAUCAAUGUUUUGUAGUUUUCUGUUUAUAAGUGUUUCACCCCUUAGUUAAAUUUGUUCCUAAAUAUUGAACGGGGUCUUGCUAUGUUGCCUAGGCUGGUCUUGAACUCCUGAGCUCAAGCGAUACUCCCACCUCAGCCUUUGUGACCUGCCCGC